GCUUAUCAUUCAAAGCCGCAGUACUAGCGCUCCGUGAACCCAUAGCCGAAAAAUGCCUAACCCACGUUACUGCCACUUUCUCCGAUGGAUUCGCCGGAAAACCAUGCAAAAGUCCGGCAGCGACUCCACCAACAACUCCGGUCCCGGGAUUAUUUCGCAGAACUGUAGUUGAAAAGUAACGUGGACCCAUAUGACCCAUGACAACUCGUG
rnacentral:misc_RNA from 1 species